rnacentral:rRNA from 1 species
AAACUCCUACGGGGGGCAGCAGUGAGGAAUAUUGGUCAAUGGGCGCGAGCCUGAACUAGCCACGUCGCGUGAGGGAAGACGGUCCUAUGGAUUGUAAAUCUCUUUUGUCGGGGAGCAAAAGACGCCACGCGUGGCGUUCCGAGAGUACCCGAAGAAAAAGCAUCGGCUAACUCCGUGCCAGCAGCCGCGGUAAUACGGAGGAUGCGAGCGUUAUCCGGAUUUAUUGGGUUUAAAGGGUGUGCAGGCGGAAGAUCAAGUCAGCGGUAAAAUUGAGAGGCUCAACCUCUUCGAGCCGUUGAAACUGG